rnacentral:rRNA from 1 species
AUUGAACGCUGGCGGCAUGCCUUACACAUGCAAGUCGAACGGUAACAGGUCUUCGGAUGCUGACGAGUGGCGAACGGGUGAGUAAUACAUCGGAACGUGCCCGAUCGUGGGGGACAACGGAGCGAAAGCUUUGCUAAUACCGCAUACGAUCUACGGAUGAAAGCAGGGGACCGCAAGGCCUUGCGCGGACGGAGCGGCCGAUGGCAGAGUAGGUAGUUGGUGGGAUAAAAGCUUACCAAGCCGACGAUCUGUAGCUGGUCUGAGAGGACGACCAGCCACACUGGGACUGAGACACGGACCAGACUCCUACGGGAGGCAGCAGUGGGGAAUUUUGGACAAUGGGCGAAAGCCUGAUCCAGCCAUGCCGCGUGCAGGAUGAAGGCCUUCGGGUUGUAAACUGCUUUUGUACGGAACGAAAAGCCUCUUUCUAAUAAAGAGAGGUCAUGACGGUACCGUAAGAAUAAGCACCGGCUAACUACGUGCCAGCCGCCGCCGUAACAC